rnacentral:rRNA from 1 species
UACGAAGGGGGCGAGCGUUGUUCGGAAUUACUGGGCGUAAAGGGCGCGUAGGCGGCGACUCAAGUUAGAUGUGAAAGUCCUGGGCUUAACCUGGGGACUGCAUUUGAUACUGGGUUGCUUGAAUUCGGGAGAGGAUAGCGGAAUUCCCAGUGUAGAGGUGAAAUUCGUAGAUAUUGGGAAGAACACCGGUGGCGAAGGCGGCUAUCUGGACCGACAUUGACGCUGAGGCGCGAAAGCGUGGGGAGUAAACAGG